rnacentral:rRNA from 1 species
AAACUCAAAUGAAUUGACGGGGCCCGCACAAGCGGAGGAACAUGUGGUUAAUUCGAUGAUACGCGAGGAACCUUACCUGGGCUUAAAUGGGGAGUGACAGCUGUCGAAAGAUGGUUUUCUUCGGACACUCUUCAAGGUGCUGCAUGGUUGUCGUCAGCUCGUGCCGUGAGGUGUCGGGUUAAGUCCCAUAACGAGCGCAACCCUUACCGUUAGUUACCAUCAGGUUAAGCUGGGGACUCUAGCGGGACUGCCACCGUAAGGUGAGAGGAAGGUGGGGAUGACGUCAAAUCAGCACGGCCCUUAUGUCCAGGGCUACACACGUGUUACAAUGGCCAGUACAAAGGGCAGCUACCGGGUGACCGGAUGCUAAUCUCUAAAGCUGGUCUCAGUUCGGAUCGAAGUCUGCAACCCGACUUCGUGAAGCUGGAUUCGCUAGUAAUCGCGCAUCAGCCAUGGCGCGGUGAAUACGUUCCCGGGCCUU